AGAAAGCCGCGCCGGCCCCAGUCCCCGUGGGCUGAAGGCAGGUUGAGUUCUUCCCCAGGUCUGCGAGCCUCGAAGGCUUCUCUCAGACAGCAGACCCCUUAGAAGCGCAAGGCUGCUUUCUGACAAAGAAUCAAGUGUUCCUUUCAACAAGCCAAGGGACUGGUUUUCUCGCUGACCCUUUGACAGCUCCAGCCGGUCCCUCCAUUAGGGGUCCCUAACUUCCCACAACAGACCGAGAUGGCCUUCUGAGCUUUUCCAGGGCUGAUGACCACCUUCUUGAUACCUUCCCCUCUCUGAUUCUGAGUUUGUGCCCACCAGAUGGGGCCAUCUAGUUGCAGGAAAACAAGCUCAGGGCUCCCACUGAUUCUACAUGAUGGGAAUCCAGGCUUUCGGAGAUGAGGACUGGGAGGUCUCCAGACCACACAAGCUCCCUAUUUGCACUGGCCUUUGGAAUGAGCCUACAGCCUGCCUCCAUUGCUCCUGGCACCCCAGCUGUUCUCAAGGAAUUGGCCAGAAGUCAGACUCCCUUCCCAGCCGUCCUCCACUUCUUUCCUGCCAGGCACCCCAGGCCCCAUGGUGGGAUUGGGCCUAUAGGCUGUGAUUUUCCACAUCCUUGUCAAACCUGUACUACCUGAAUGCCUAGAGGAAAAGAUACUGCCUUAAUUACAAUUAUGAGCAUGAAUGCCUUCUUACUCCUGAAUUUAGCUGAGUGCUGCCUGCAGGUAAAGUCACCUGGAGAACCAUCCAGGGACUUUGUCCUCAUAGGAUCACUUGUACCUCUCUAGGGUUGCUGUGGCAGCUGCCAGAGUGGCCCAGGCCAUGGAUGAGGGCCAGGAUAUGGACGGCAGAUGCGGAAAUGAGCCCAGAGGCCACAGGGCCCAGCUCUCAGGCUCCCAGUGAAGCCUGGUGAAGCCCAGAGGGUUCCUUCUCUCUCCUGCUUCAGGCUGACAAUGUUUGUCAGCCUCUGCUCCCAAACCCUAUACCCAGCAACCUCUGCACCCAAGCACGUGUUCUGAAGAAUAUUCUGGCGUUGGGCCCCUGUAGGUGGCCUGCCAUGAAGGUGGAAGCCUAGAACGUAGUGACAUGGAUUCAUUAUUGGGAUGUUCAUCCUAAGGAAAUGCACUCGCAGGCGGCUCUAGACCUUGGGGACUCCAGCCUCGUUCAUUUAAGCUCCCACACUGUGCCAGGCCCUAUGUGGGUUGCAAGGGGCAGAGAGACGCAGAAUGACAGCCGACAUGGCACUCCAUUGGCACACUGGCACUGUUCUUUUUUUUUUUUUUUGAGAUGGAGUCUUGCUCUGUCACCCAGACUGGAGUGCGGUGGCAUGAUGGAGGU